UUUCAAGGGCCAGUGCCCGGCUCCCCCGGGCUGGCGGCGCCUGGGCGCGUGUCCGGGCUGCGAGGAGCGGCUCCCGGCCGCGUGGGCGCCGGGCACUUGGUUAGCGGGAGGCCCGGACCUCCAGAUCCGGGAGGUGGGGCCUCGUUUUGCUCUGUUGUACAUUGUUUUAUUCCUGCCUUUUCCCUCCCCCCUCCUCGCUGCCAACUCCUAAGUGAGCGCUUUGGCUCCUGAGAGAUGGCCUGGCGUUAGGGGGCGAGCCCUCGCUGCCUAGUUGAAGUCUUGGGUCACACUUCCUGAACCUGCGUUUAUGCUGUGUGAUACGAUUGGGUUUGUAGUCUGACCACUACAAACCUAAAGUUCCAAAGGCGAGAAGGAAACGAGAUCUGGGCCAGGCUUUGCAGACGAUUCCCGGAAUGACGCCGGCGUGGUUCUUCCGCCCUUCACCUUCCCCGCGUUUACCUGCGAAGUGCCUCGUAAACAGUCAACCUUGUCCAUGCACCUCUUGGGAGGAACAUUGUGAUGGGGGUUGUGAGUUUACUGUGGGUGUCCGAAGAACCUCCGGGACUUUGGAAAUAAUAGCGUAGUUUAUUCAGCUCGGGAUUGCCGCUUUCUGAUCCACGAAGAGCACAGUGGCGUAAGGUAAACGAAGCAGACGUCCAAGGCAGAUGUACUGGCACAAGAUAAAAAAUUGAAGCUAAUGAGUAUAGAAACCUUGAAAACAAUAUGUUGGAGAUGUCGGAGCCAGAAGAAAGAAGGAGCAUAUGUGACUAAACCACAUCCAAAUUAGAAAACACUUCUUCUUUUUGGACUUCUUAUAGGAGAGAAAAUUAAGAUUUGAGAAUUUACAUCUUACAAGAACUAGAAUGACCAUAACUAAUCCAGAAAUUGGUAUCAGAAGUGGGGUACUACUAAGACAAUAACUUAAAAUAUGUUGUAUUGUUUUAGUGAUGAUACAGCAGAUGUUGAAGAAACUGAUAUCAGAGGCUGGAAGAAGGAAACCCAUGCUUUGCAGUGGGAGAAUAAUUGUUCAUAGGUUGCAUCUGGACCUAAUGAAGAUGACUGCAUUACCUGAACAUCUAGAUUUUAGCCCAGCUGGUGUGGCUCAGUGACUGAACAUCAACCUAUGAACCAGGAGGUCACAAUUUGAUUCCUGGUCAGGGUACAUGCCCAGGGUACGGGCUCAAUCCCCAGAGGGGGUUAUGCAGGAGGCAGCGAUCAAUGAUUCUCAUCAUUGAUGUUUCUAUCUCUCCCUCUCCUUCUCUCUCUCUGAAAUCAAUAAAAACAUUUUUUUAAAAUCUAGACUUUAAGCUUGACUUAGUGACUUGGUAGAACUUUAGAUUGGGGUGGGAUGUGUUCUGUGUGUAUGAAGAGAGA